UACGUAGGGUGCGAGCGUUAAUCGGAAUUACUGGGCGUAAAGCGUGCGCAGGCGGUGAUGUAAGACAGGUGUGAAAAUCCCCGGGCUUAACCUGGGAACUGCAUUUGUGACUGCAUGGCUAGAGUGCGGCAGGAGGGGGAUGGAAUUCCGCGUGUAGCAGUGAAAUGCGUAGAUAUCUGGAGGAACACCGGUGGCGAAGGCGGCAUCCUGGACCGGCAUUGACGCUGAGGAGCGAAAGCCAGGGGAGCAAACGGG
rnacentral:rRNA from 1 species